rnacentral:rRNA from 1 species
AGAGUUUGAUCAUGGCUCAGAACGAACGCUGGCGGCAGGCCUAAUACAUGCAAGUCGAGCGCCCAGCAAUGGGAGCGGCGGACGGGUGAGUAACACGUGGGAAUAUGCCCCGAGGUACGGAACAACUCAGGGAAACUUGAGCUAAUACCGUAUGAUCCGGCAACGGCAAAGAUUUAUCGCCUUGGGAUUAGCCCGCGUCCGAUUAGCUAGUUGGUGAGGUAAUGGCCCACCAAGGCACCGAUCGGUAGCUGGUUUGAGAGAACGACCAGCCACACUGGGACUGAGACACGGCCCAGACUCCUACGGGAGGCAGCAGUAGGGAAUCUUGGACAAUGGGGGAAACCCUGAUCCAGCCAUGCCGCGUGAGUGAUGAAGGCCUUCGGGUUGUAAAACUCUUUCGGCGGGGACGAUAAUGACGGUACCCGCAGAAGAAGCUCCGGCUAACUUCGUGCCAGCAGCCGCGGUAAUACGAAGGGGGCUAGCGUUGUUCGGAAUUACUGGGCGUAAAGCGCGCGCAGGCGGCCUUUCAAGUCAGGGGUGAAAGCCCAGAGCUCAACUCUGGAAUUGCCUUUGAAACUGUCAGGCUUGAGUACGGGAGAGGUGAGUGGAAUUCCCAGUGUAGAGGUGAAAUUCGUAGAUAUUGGGAAGAACACCGGUGGCGAAGGCGGCUCACUGGCCCGUUUCUGACGCUCAGGCGCGACAGCGUGGGGAUCAAACAGGAUUAGAUACCCCGGUAGUCC